UUUAGUAUUUUGGUUGUAAUUUUUCAAGAGACUAUAAACAAAGACAUUUUGAAGGAACUCCACAAAUGUGAUGCUGGGAAAUUUACUUUUGGAGAUGGUUGUACAAGGCAAUUUUCUUAUUAUUACUCUACAAUGGCAAUCUUCUUCCCCAAAUCGUUUUGCUAACAGGGCUGUUGUUUUGGGCAUGGAAGAAACGUAAGUUUUGUCUACUAUUCCGCUAAAGGCAACGUUGUUCAAGACUUUCUACCGCUUACUAAGCAACGAAUACGAUUGUCCUCUGGCGAGCUUGAAAGUGCGAGAAAGAAUCCCGAUGCCUACUCUAACGCCAUAACAGAGGAGAAAGCUUUGGCAGAAAUUACCAAUGGCGUUGGCCAGGCAGGAUCAUCAGCAUGGUCGUACGGGGUGUCGUCGCCACUCGCCGCCAUCCUAUGAUGCCUCUGUAGCUCCUGUAUUGCUUCCCUGAAUCAGUCCUCAGCCUCAGGCAGUCGUCGCUCCGCCUCCGCGCUGUCUGCCAACAACCAUGCCGAGGAAAUCGGGUUUUUAGAGAGAGUCGGCAUUUUAAAGUCGAUAAUAAUUUAUAAGUUAGUUCUUUUUAAUUAACUUUAUUGCUGUAAUAAGAACAUUUUUUAUUUCUCUCCCUGUUUUUCUUAAUUUUCCUGUAAAAUUUCAAAAAGUUAAUGCUGCAUGGUGAUUUUUUUUGA